UGGGUAAUCUACCCUCGGUUUCGGGAUAGCCCGGGGAAACCCGGAUUAAUACCGAAUGGCCUCUCGAGCUCUUGGGCUCGUGAGAAAAGGUAGCUUUGGCCUCUGACCGAGGAUGAGCCCGCGGCCGAUUAGCUAGUUGGUGGGGUAAUGGCCCACCAGGGCGACGAUCGGUAGCUGGUCUGAGAGGAC
rnacentral:rRNA from 1 species